rnacentral:rRNA from 1 species
UGGAAGUAAUAAGCGUAACAAGGUUUCCGUAGGUGAACCUGCGGAAGGAUCAUUACAACAAUAAUUCAACAUUGUGUCAGAGCAAUAACAUCUAAAACCGAUCAUCAAUUAAUUAAUUCAAAACUUUCAACAACGGAUCUCUAGGUUCUCGCAUCGAUGAAGAACGCAGCGAAAUGCGAUACGUAGUACGAAACGCAAGUCGUGAAUCAUCGAAUCUUUGAACGCACAUUGCGCUGUGUGGCAUUCCACACAGCAUGCCUGUUUGAGCAAUAUUUCUCUCUCGCAAGGUGUUGGGCACCACGCCGGCAGGCGUCUGCCAGAAACGAAAUUGUCUAAAACAGUUAAGCUUGUUACAGACUCUUGAUCUUAUUCUCAAAUCAGGUAGGACUACCCGCUGAACUUAAGCAUAUCAAAAGCGGAGG